GAGUUUGAUCCUGGCUCAGAAUGAACGCUAUUAGUAUGCUUUACACAUGCGAGUUGUACGAUAAAAUUUAUAAUUUUAUCGUAGCGAACGGGUGAAAAAAACGUAAAACGUUACCUUUUAGAUUAGUAUAAACAAAUCAAUAAAAUUAUUUUUUUGUUGAAAAUUUUGUAUUGUUAAGACUAUAUUUUUAAAAAGUUAAAUUAAUUAACUUACUAAAAGAUACUUUUGCGUAAGAUUAGGUUGUUGGUAAUUUUAUAGAUUACCAAGCCGACGAUCUUUAGUUGGUCUUAGAGGAUGAUCAACCACACUGGAACUGAGACAAGGUUCAGGCUAAAUUUUUAGCCAGCAGUGAGGAAUAUUGGACAAUGAACGCAAGUUUGAUCCAGCAAUACUAGUUGAAUGAUGACGGCUGUUUUGGUUGUAAAGUUCUUUCGUUAAAAAUGAUAAUGACAUUAUUUAAAGAAGUUUUAGUCCCGGCUAAUCUCGUGCCAGCAGCCGCGGUAAUACGGAGGGUGCGAGCGUUAAUCGGAAUUACUGGGCGUAAAGCGCAUGCAGGCGGUCUGUUAAGCAAGAUGUGAAAGCCCGGGGCUCAACCUCGGAACAGCAUUUUGAACUGGCAGACUAGAGUCUUGUAGAGGGGGGUAGAAUUUCAGGUGUAGCGGUGAAAUGCGUAGAGAUCUGAAGGAAUACCGGUGGCGAAGGCGGCCCCCUGGACAAAGACUGACGCUCAGAUGCGAAAGCGUGGGGAGCAAACAGGAUUAGAUACCCUGGUAGUCCACGCCGUAAACGAUGUCUACUUGGAGGUUGUGGCCUUGAGCCGUGGCUUUCGGAGCUAACGCGUUAAGUAGACCGCCUGGGGAGUACGGUCGCAAGAUUAAAACUCAAAUGAAUUGACGGGGGCCCGCACAAGCGGUGGAGCAUGUGGUUUAAUUCGAUGCAACGCGAAGAACCUUACCUACUCUUGACAUCCAGAGAACUUAGCAGAGAUGCUUUGGUGCCUUCGGGAACUCUGAGACAGGUGCUGCAUGGCUGUCGUCAGCUCGUGUUGUGAAAUGUUGGGUUAAGUCCCGCAACGAGCGCAACCCUUAUCCUUGUUUGCCAGCACUUCGGGUGGGAACUCCAGGGAGACUGCCGGUGAUAAACCGGAGGAAGGUGGGGACGACGUCAAGUCAUCAUGGCCCUUACGAGUAGGGCUACACACGUGCUACAAUGGCGUAUACAGAGGGCUGCCAACUCGCGAGAGUGAGCGAAUCCCAGAAAGUACGUCGUAGUCCGGAUUGGAGUCUGCAACUCGACUCCAUGAAGUCGGAAUCGCUAGUAAUCGUGAAUCAGAAUGUCACGGUGAAUACGUUCCCGGGCCUUGUACACACCGCCCGUCACACCAUGGGAGUGGGCUGCACCAGAAGUAGAUAGCUU
rnacentral:rRNA from 1 species